CGCGCACAUACAUGCCGGUUUGUAUGGGCCGGCGUGCUUGCGUGUGUCUAGUGCGUACGUGUUUUGUGAGCGUGUUUCUGUGUGGGUCACUGUGUGUGCGUCCACGUGUUAGCGUGUCUGCCUGCAUGUAUGUGUGAUUGUUUGUGUUUAUCAAUGUGCGCGUGCGUGCCUUUGUGUCUGCGCUUUGAGAGUGCGUAUAUUUGUGUGCGUGCGUAUGUAUUGCAUAAGGCCGGUAGAAUUUUACUCGCAAUAAAACUCUUCCAAUUUGGUGCAGCGAGUGUUGCCGCCUGAAAGCCGAGUUUGGUUUCAAGCCAACCUGGACAACUGCUGUAUGAGGCGCUGUUUCGCAGGAGGAUCAGUGGGAAGGCGUCAGGUCAUGCAGAUGAUAGCAUCAAUUUCACAAUGCCCAGCCUUGGUGCCCUCCAUUAAGAGCAAGCCACUUGCGUUCGCCUUCAGGCAGAUGGUUGAUGUCUUCUAGGAAGCAGUUGGGAAGACUACAUUGAUGCAAGAUUCCAGCAAUGCCAUGCGCUGCAUUUAUUGGUCAAGAUGCUCAGAGAAUGGAGUCCCUGCACCUCGUGGUGAAACGUGAACAUUUUCUUUCUUUU